rnacentral:rRNA from 1 species
AUUGAACGCUGGCGGCAUGCUUUACACAUGCAAGUCGAACGGUAACAGGUUAAGCUGACGAGUGGCGAACGGGUGAGUAAUGCAUCGGAACGUGCCCGAUCGUGGGGGAUAACGCAGCGAAAGCUGCGCUAAUACCGCAUACGAUCUGAGGAUGAAAGCGGGGGACCGUAAGGCCUCGCGCGAUCGGAGCGGCCGAUGUCAGAUUAGGUAGUUGGUGGGGUAAAGGCCCACCAAGCCGACGAUCUGUAGCUGGUCUGAGAGGACGACCAGCCACACGGGGACUGAGACACGGCCCAGACUCCUACGGGAGGCAGAAGUGGGGAAUUUUGGACAAUGGGCGAAAGCCUGAUCCAGCAAUGCCGCGUGCAGGAAGAAGGCCUUCGGGUUGUAAACUGCUCUUGUACGGAGCGAAAAGGUCCUUUCUAAUACAAGGGGCUCAUGACGGUACCGUAAGAAUAAGCACCGGCUAACUACGUGCCAGCCGCCGCCGUAA